UAUUUAUUUAUAUUCCACCCACUCUACCCAAAGGUCUCUGGGCAGUUUACAACAAUUAAAAUUCAAUUAAAAUACAAUAAUAUUUGUCACCUUUUACUUUUGUUUCUCACCUGUCUUUCAAAAUUUUAAUUGUUUCUGCCAUAAUUCAUCUAGGUUUCUGUUUUCAUUUUACUACAGGUGUUAAAUUUUUGCGUCUUUCUCCAAAACUGUCUCUGGUUUCAAUGUAUAGUUCUUCUGGUUCAUAGUCAGUUGAGGUUAGUAAUGGAAAUUUGUUCAUUACGUAGACUUUAAAUUAAUCAGGAAUGUUCUUUCAAUUAUAUUUUGACACUAUGAUAUGGUUUGCUUAGAUCUCAAGUCCAUUUUAUCGAUGAAAGCUUGCUACUUUUAUUUUUUAGUGGGCCAAUGAAAGGUAUCACCUACUCUGUAUUUGUGUAAUCUCCAGGACUACACCAGCUCUUUCCUUUUUUUGUUAUGAUUCUUUUAUUGUAGUUUUUCAGUUUUACUCUAAUAAUGGAUAUUGACAGUUCAUAAUCAGUACCACAAUCUCCUCCUGGUCUUGUUUUGGCAGAAAGAAUAAAGCUUCUCCAUCUCCUUCCAAUUACAUCAUCUAUUUGAUUUGCAUACUUGAUUUGUGAUGUCCACAUAUACUGUCAUCUAUUCAGUUGAUUGAAGCAUGUGUUUGCAAUUAACAGAUUGUUGACUUCGCAAAAUUCUAUGAGUCAUUCUAUUGCUUCAUUUCUAUCCCCAAGGCCUAAUUUUCCAAGAUUUGAUUCUGUUUUGUUCUCUUCAGUAGCGUUACAAGGGGAAAAAAACUAUAAAUCUCUGUCAAAAGGAUGACAGAAUCCUCUCUGUUAACAGCAGGCUGAAGUCAGAAUGUUCCCAGGAGCACCCAUGUACACGAGCAACUCUGGGGGAAGCUCAUACUUUGCAAAAGUACUAAACCUUUUAGGAAGGGGUGGAGAAAUUGGGCUGAACACACUGAAACAGCUUUUCCUGCUUGGAAAUGGAAUACCAAGCAUGAUGGAUAGCCAAUUCUGGAACCUGUUAACCAAACCAAACCAAACCCCACCAAUCUUUCCAAGCUCUGCUGCUGUUAGAAGUCAGGACUUCUGGUCCCUGUAACUGAGAUAUGUGGAUUUCUUCAACUCACUUUGGUUCCCGCAAUCCCAUGAAUAUCCCACUGGAUUCAGUGAGACUUAUUUCCAGGUAAGUGUGAAUAGGACUGCAGUUGAGCACAAGCUUGUGCGUUCUGCGUUAUUGGGUUUUUGUGUUCAGUACAAUAAUUGUAUGCUGUCAAGUUGAUUCCAAUUUAUUGUGACCCUUGUCAAGGUUUUCUAGGGUAAAGAAUACUCGGAAGUGGUUUUCCAUUUAAUUUUUUAAAUGUAUCUGGUUGGGGAGCCGGAGGUUGGGACUUUGAUUCCCCACUGUGCCUCCUGGGAGAACAGUCAGAAGAAAGGAAUGGGAAACCAUCUCUGAGCAUUCUUUACUUGGAAAACCCUGAAAAGAGUUGCCAUAAAUCAGAAUUGACUUGACAGCACAUUUAUUAAUUAUAUAUAUUUAUUUUUAAUUGUAGAAGUAUGUAUUAAAAAUAGGAUGUAUUGUUAUGCAUCCUUGUGAUAAAACAAAACCAAUGUAUAUGAUUUUUUUGGUAUUUGAUUAAGAGCUGUUGCAUAUGAAAUAAUUAGAUCGGUGCAUUCAGAUGCUGUGUCUGUUUAAUCUGUUGCUUGCAGUGGGAUUGAUCCACGUAUUAGUCCCAACUAUAACAGACCAAUAGAAUGAAUUAGAUCUGUUAGGUCGACACUUAAGUCCCAUUCAUUCUAGAGUAGACCAAUUGAUUAGUCUCUAAUAGAGUAGACCAGUGAUGGUGAAACUUUUUGAGCCCGAGUGCCCAAACUGCAAUACAAAAUCAACUUAUUUAUUUCAAAGUGCCAACACUGCAAUUAAAACCUGAAUGCUGAGGUUUUAGUUUAGAAAAAACAACUGUUCCUGCAUUGCAAGGGCUGAAUGCUUAUUCCCCCCCCCAUGGGCAGUACUGUAUUAACAAAUAAA
rnacentral:lncRNA from 1 species